UUGAGGGGCGCGAAAUGAAAAGAAUCGAAUCCGAUCGACAGUUAGGUUCGAACCAGAAAGCGAUAAAGUUGAGUUGUAACCGCGCAGCGAGAUUGACUAGCGAAACCGAGAGCGAUACGCGACGCGAUCAAAAGAAGACACUUGUUAAUAAAUAUAUUGUUGACCUAAACACCGAGUGAUUAUUUAACGCACUACACCCAAUAACACCUCAACUCUAUAAUUACGUGGGUAUAUACAUGUGUGUCAGUUUAGUAUCGUAAAAGAGUGUUGGUUAUCAAUGAUGCAAAAUGUGAGAAUUGUUUAUUUGCAAGCUGUACAUGCGUGCUUGUCUUCGACUUAUGAACUUAACCAACGUGGUAAUCUAAGUAUUAAGAUAGUUUUGUAACAAGCUGAGUAAGUGAUAGUCCGAAUGUGCAAGGUCGGAAUAUGGUAGAACAUCCCAUUCUAGUUGCAUCAAUUUUUGUCGUGUGACCCAAAUGGUCAUGCGUUGCUUGGCAAACCAUGUUUUUUAAUUUGUUCCAGGCCAACAGAAAACCAGAACGAUAGAACGCGUUACGUUGCGAAAUCCUUAACAAAUUUUCGCAAAACCUAUUCAGAAUGUCUAUUUUCCAAACCACACACAAUGUGAACUUUCGUUUUGAUGUACUACAGCUUAAUACGAACAGUUAUAUACGAAAUGACGAAGAAUCCGGAAACUACGCGAGCCUUAACGAGCCUCAAUGCAUCGAAAGACAACGCGUUUCGAAUUACAGUUCGACGAAUCGCAUUUAACCACUGGUUCUCGCGAGUCUGUGGCCACCAGUCGUGAAAUACGAACGAGCUACAAGCAUGGGCAACCGGUUGCAUAGACUCAGGGGCCAUCGACGCAGUACAGGCACGUGUGAGCGCUAAUGGUAACGAGAUUCGAUUCAACAGAGAGAAAAUAAAAUGAAUAGAAGCUCGUCGGGAGCAGAAGCAAGAGUACCGAAGCGUAAAAGCUUCGCAGAUCGUUUCGCUGGGUCUUUGAAGCCGAUUCUCGCAAUUAACAGGAAUGUUAUAUUAUAAAUAUUUGACCACGGACGCCAUUAAUUGAAGAAGGUCGUUGGAGACGUGAAGAGGGUCAGGUUAAACCCUUCAAUUUCCCCUUCUUUAGAGCCUCUCCGCUUCUCUGCCUGCCGUCUUCUUCCAUUUUGUCGUUUCCUUUUUCUCAAAUUGUACGAGGUCCAGGACGAUUCCUGUGAUCGAGGGUCGUCAAGAAACUAGUUGGAAAGAAAAGAGGGUCAAUAGUAAAACAUGAUAUCCGAUUGCCACGACGAAGAUUAACCUGGCCACGCCGCACUGUACCACUCGGCUCGAUGGUUCUUCCUUUGAACGUUUCGAGCGGCCCUUAAACGCUCGGCCCUUUGUGUGUCCGGAAACCAACUAUACUUCCGAUUCAUCGUUGGUCCGUGAGCGAGAAUGACUAUUAUCGAAAUCUAUUUAAUUAAACGAUUGCGUGAUGUCACGUACCUGAUGAUAUGAAAUGAAUUUAUACUUGGUGCAAGUGAUAUACAGUGCUGUAAAUAAUUAGAAAAUUAAUCAGAAUAUCAAAAGAAAAAUUGACAGAGUCAUUUAUAUUAUAAUAUGAAACAAAAUUGAAGAUACAACGAACAAAAAUAUUGUUCUUUACAUUUUCUCUUAGAAUUGUGUUUUUGACUGUGAAGAAAUGUAGACUGAGUGCCAAGCUCGUUAACUUUUCAUUCAACAUUUAGUGGAUUUUCCUUUAUUUUUUAUUGCUUCUGUUAACCUGUUAAGCGCACUAUCCAUUAACUUUUGUUUUCAAUAUCAGCUCAGACGGAUUUUAUUCUCUUUUUAACUCCUCCAUACUUUCUAUAGCUGGCUCUUUCUGAUCAUAAAAUUUUCUUGUUGGAAUCACGCAUUCUCGGUCGGAUUUAGACGAGACUCAAAGCUGGCCAUGAUAAUAAUUCUAUUGUGAAACCUUGAAACUACUUUUUUGUAAUGGGAGCAGUAUAAUGGGAGCAUUGUCUCCUUGACAAAUUAUCUUUCUGUCUACCAUUUUAAAACGCUAUGUAACACCUCGUGCUAUUUUAUAGCAUUCAAAUUUCCCUUAGGAAAAAUAAUUUCUCUUGGUAUAUCUAGGCACGAUCAGUGGUUUCCUGGAAAUAUCGAAGAACUAAUAGAAAAAAGGUGUUUGAGUUUAUAAUUAUUCACAGAACUGCAGUCCGUACAUUGAAAUAUUAUGCGCGGAUAGGUUCAAUCAUUAACAACUGACGUCAAUAGAAAUCACGUUGAUUCUAUCAUAGACAGAAUUUCACCUUAAUAGAUUUAUAUUUUGUGUUUAAAAUUUCAAAAAUAUAGAUGUAUUUAAUAUCGAAUAAAGAACAGAAAAGUUAUUAUUUGCUGUAGCUACAAAUGACACUCCAAUCAUAUUAUGAUUCUAAUGUUGGGUUGGCAACUAAGUGAUUGCGGAUUUUGUCACUACGUGGCACUGACAAAAUCCGCAAUCACUUAGUUGCUAACCCAAUAUUAAAACAAAACUUGUAUAGAGUGGAAGUGGACAGCCAAAAAGUGUGAAGUUUAUACCUCUUUUUAUAAAGUUUAUGACUUUCAGGUACCUAAAACUUUAAUAAGCUGCCUUACAAAGAGUAUCAGUAAUCGAUUAAGGCUUUGUAUAAAAUAUAAGCUCCGCGUCUUUUCUCUAUUAAGUUGCCAAUCCAAUAUAUGCUUCAAAUUGUUCGAAUUUUAUAGCCAAUCUGGCAAAUUUCGUCAAUUUUACAAUCUCACUCUAUUUUUUCCAAAUACUUCAAUUUUAACAUCUGACCUGUAUUUUACCACCUCGCUAUAUAUUUUCCACCAAUUACGGUGGAAAUAAGAACGAGACGAUGUUUACAGAAGAAAUUAUUCAUUUCACCCUGUGACUUACAAAAUCUUCGUAUCUUUCGUAUUUCUUUCUUAAUUGUAUUAAAUUGUAAUUGUAAUUAAGUUGUAUUUCAUUGUAAUUUCGAAAAUUAUUUCACUUUUCGUGCUGCACGAAGCAGGAUCCAGCAUAAUACGAAGCCAGACGCGGCCCAUUGUCCUUCAACAGGGCAGACAUGCAUUUAUGUAUGCAAUACUCGAGUUCCUGAGGCUUUCUAGUGCCUGCACGCCCUAAUACGCCGUUAUAAUUUAUAGCAGGCUGCUCUACGGUUUCGGAUACAUCAUCACUCUGCUCGGCCUGCGAUAUUGAUCAGCUGUAGAAUGAAUAAUCAUGGCCGGAUCGAUCAUCGUCUGCUUGUUCCUUACUGCACCGUAAAAACUUGGCGAGCAUUAACACUAGACGUACCACACUAGUCAAAUUGACUGGUUUUACAAUUUUAUUUUAAAAUUCUUACUUCAUGUUAUAUUUUUUCCGCAAUGAUGUAAUGACUUUCGCAACGAUAACUAAAAGAAUAAUAUAAUGAAUUUUAUUUUGUUUUUUCUGUAUUCAAACUGAAAAUAAUUUUAUAUCAGGGCUGCGUAUAUCAAUACCAGUUAAAAUGACUCGUACCUAUCAAAAUGUAAAAGGGUCCUGCAAUCUGUUUAUCGAACCCCAAUUAACCAGUUUCCUCGUUUCGUACAACUUGCCACACGUUUUUAAAAUUUUUACCGCGUAUCAUUCAA